AAUCCUACGGGGGGCAGCAGUAGGGAAUCUUCCACAAUGGACGAAAGUCUGAUGGAGCAACGCCGCGUGAGUGAAGAAGGGUUUCGGCUCGUAAAGCUCUGUUGGUAGGGAAGAAAGAUAGAGGGAGUAACUGGCCUUUAUUUGACGGUAAUUACUUAGAAAGUCACGGCUAACUACGUGCCAGCAGCCGCGGUAAAACGUAGGUGGCAAGCGUUGUCCGGCUUUAUUGGGCGUAAAGCGAGUGCAGGCGGGUUCA
rnacentral:rRNA from 1 species